rnacentral:rRNA from 1 species
UACGAAGGGGGCUAGCGUUGCUCGGAAUUACUGGGCGUAAAGGGAGCGUAGGCGGAUAGUUUAGUCAGAGGUGAAAGCCCAGGGCUCAACCUUGGAAUUGCCUUUGAUACUGGCUAUCUUGAGUACGGAAGAGGUAUGUGGAACUCCGAGUGUAGAGGUGAAAUUCGUAGAUAUCUGGAAGAACACCAGUGGCGAAGGCGGUCAACUGGCCCAUAACUGACGCUCAGGCACGAAAGCGUGGGGAGCAAACAGG